UAUAUAAAAAGGAUGAAAUCCCCGUUAGCUGCAGUCGGCUCAUCUUCUGAUUACACAAACUGUGGAAAGUGUCUUCUUCUUCACUCGCUGUUGAAAGCGAACAACUCUAGAGAUACACUCGCAGCUGUAGGAAAGUGCCUUUGCCAUGCCCAACUAGAAAGGUGGGUUCUUGCCCAGAAAAUUGGACAAGAGAGAGCUGAACGCGAUGAGAAAGCCCGGCCCGAAGCCAACAUGAGUUAGCCCGCAUUAAAAUGAUUGGGCCCGGGCUUUUCGCAAGGGACCGAGCAGAGCAGCAAAGCUGAUGCCUUUAUAAGCACCUGUCGGCGCACUGCGGUUGCUCCUGCUAGGGUUCAUUGGAGGCCUCGCUUUCAGAAGAUGAACCGUGUCUCUCUCUCUUCCCUACAUUAGCGUUGAAACUUUUGUUUCCAGUCGUGCUUAUAUGUUGCGGAGUAGAAUAAAAUCUGACUGCCAGAUUGCAAAAUAGCAAGUCGCCCAGGCACCGCACCCGGGCGCAGCACGAGAGGAGAAUCUGAGUUCCAGUCUCCAAGUGGAUUGUGCGCAAUGACUUCAGCAUAAUCUGAUCAGAUUGCUUAAAUUAGUGUGCUGGAGAACUUUUUAGUUUAUGUUAGGCAUCCUCCAUUAGGUGUAUACAGUAAUCAAGCAGAGCUACUCAAAUGCACGUGCUCCUUGAUAGCCAAACACGCAAAUGAUGCAUUUCUUGUUGGAUGUCAUUUGGGCUAUUGUAAUGCUGUCAAAAGUGUUGUAACAUUCAAUUUCUUACAUUGAUGCCUCAUUGUAAUAUAGCGUUACUGACUGUUAUACUGCU